rnacentral:lncRNA from 1 species
UCUGUCAAAUUUUAAGAUUUCUGUCUCAAGCAAGACACAACGAACUUUCCUCUUCUUGCUUCAUCUUUAUUCUGUUUUGUCUUUGGAAAUCCUUCAACGAGAUCGAAGAUGAUGCACAUGACCUUAUAUUGGGGAAAAGACGUAACUCUCCUCAUCGACUCCUGGAAAACCGAUUCAUGGCUGAGUUACCUCCUCACUCUAGUCGCUUGCUUCCUCUUCUCUUCCUUUUACCAGUACAUGGAAGAUCGACGCCUCCGUUUCAAUACCCUCGCUUCCUCUAACCCAUCCCAGCCCUCCUCCACCGGCGCCGCCGUACC